UCUCUACCCCACACCCUGUCUUAUCUCACUUUUGAUUUCAAAAAGCAUUUCUAAUUUAAUUAAUGAUUUACGGUGUAUAAGCACUCUUGUGACUUUUCCAUCCACAAUCAAAACAUUGACAUACAUAUUCAAGAGGGAUAGAAAACAUUUAGAGGAUCCAGUUGGACAUUGACCUGUAUUUAUGAUUCCCUUGUAUGUAGGACAAGUGUUAGUUCUUGGUUUGGAAAGAUGUUUGCACUAGAUUCAGCGAAAAAAGCAAGUUGAAGAGUUCACAGCUACAGAGGUCCUACUGUCACCUGCACGUCAACAACUCGGGAGAUACUCAUGGCAGGCCUUCAUGUGCCAGACCAGGGUUCAGGGCAGGGAGGCACUCAUGCCUGCCGGCAGGAGGCUUACCCCCUUCAUCCGGAAGGUUCCACAAAGCCAAGUAGGGUAGGAAAGCGUGGGCAAGAAUGAGAAGGAGGUGCACAAAGGCCAGGCAGCACUGAGAUCUGACGGACUGGUGUCUGCUCAAGAGAAUUCAAACAGGCGCUCAGACAGAUACCAUAGCAGCAUUAUCCACAAUAGCCAGAGGCUGGACACUACCAAGGGUCUGUCACUGAUGAACAGGUAAACACAGCGUAGUCCGU